CCCUUAGAUGUUCUGGGCCGCACGCGCGCUACACUGACGAAUGCAACGAGCUUAUAACCUUGGCCGAAAGGUCUGGGUAAUCUCCAAAUUUCGUCGUGAUGGGGAUAGAUUAUUGCAAUUAUUAAUCUUCAACGAGGAAUGCCUAGUAAGCGCAAGUCAUCAGCUUGCGUUGAUUACGUCCCUGCCCUUUGUACACACCGCCCGUCGCUCCUACCGGUUGAAUGGUCCGGUGAAGCGUUCGGACCGUGGCCUUUGGACGGUUCGCCGUCUGUUGGCUGCGGGAAGUUCGUUAAACCUUAUCAUUUAGAGGAAGGAGAAGUCGUANCA
rnacentral:rRNA from 1 species